GACGUAGGGCGCGAGCGUUGUCCGGAUUUAUUGGGCGUAAAGAGCUCGUAGGCGGCUUGUCGCGUCGUUCGUGAAAACUUGGGGCUCAACUCCAAGCUUGCGGUCGAUACGGGCAGGCUAGAGUUCGGUAGGGGAGACUGGAAUUCCUGGUGUAGCGGUGAAAUGCGCAGAUAUCAGGAGGAACACCGGUGGCGAAGGCGGGUCUCUGGGACGGUACUGACGCUGAGACGCGAAAGCGUGGGGAGCGAACAGG
rnacentral:rRNA from 1 species